rnacentral:lncRNA from 1 species
GCCAAUCCACCACUAGAACGACAUCACACAGUCAAAUCUAGAACCACUAGGUCAGCUGGAAGGCAUCUACUCACAACAAACUCUAAACUGAACCGGUAGACUGACUCUGCCACAGAUGGAUCACACUCGGGUCUACCAACCCAAAGAGAACACUCUAAGCCCAGAAGUCAUCAAACCCACCCUCACUACGGCUCACUAAACGACAAGGAAAGAGAAACACUAGGGUUCACAAAAACAUACACAUCUGAAAACUCAAAAGUGAGCAUACCU